rnacentral:rRNA from 1 species
AAAAAAUUGGAUGAUACUAGCCAUGCGAGUCAUUGUAGUAAUACAAGGCAGACGGCUCAGUAACGCGUCCUUUAAUAACCUAUGGACGGGAAUAACCUCGGGAAACUGACUUAAUGAGAGAUAGAACAUUAUGCAUGGAAUGGUUUAUGUUCCAAAUGAUUUAUAGUCGUAGGAUGGGAGUGCCCCCUAUCAGUUUGUUGGUGAGGUAAUGGCCCAACAAGACUAUUAAGGGUACGGGCUCUGAGAGGAGUAGCCGGGAAAUGGGUACUGAGACAACGACCCAGGCCUAUUGGGGCGAACCAAAGAAAAAAAUUUUGCAUGGGGGAAAAACCCGACAAGGUUAAUCCGAAUGGGUUUUCGUUAAAGGAACUUUUGGUCGUCCUUAAAAAACCCAAUAAAAAAGGGGGGGUUUUUUUUGGGGGCAACCCGCCCGGGAAAAACGGCACCUUAAGUGGUCAGGAUGAUUAUUGGGGCUAAAGCAUCCGUAGCCCGCUCUGUUUGUUUUCGGGUUAAUCUGUACGCUCCACGUACAGGGUGCCGGGAAUACUGCAGAAAUUGGGAGUGGGAGAGGUAGACGGCACUCGGUAGGAAAGGGUAAAAUCCUUUGAUCUAUUGAUGAACACCUGUGGGGGAAGCGGUCUACCACAAAAAGUCCCAAAGUGAGGGAAGAAAGCUGGGGGAACAAACCGGAUUUAAAACCCGGGGAGUUCCCGCUGGAAACAUGGCAACUCACUGAAGGAUUGGCUUGGGGCCAUGCAGUGCUGCAGGGAAGCCGUUAGUUUGCCGCCUGGGAGUACGUUCGCAAGUAUGAAAUUAAUGAAUUGGAC